CCUACGGGUGGCAGCAGUGGGGAAUAUUGGACAAUGGGCGAAAGCCUGAUCCAGCCAUGCCGCGUGUGUGAAGAAGGCCUUCGGGUUGUAAAGCACUUUCAGUGGGGAAGAAAGCCUUGGGGCUAAUACCCUCGAGGAAGGACAUCACCCACAGAAGAAGCACCGGCUAACUCCGUGCCAGCAGCCGCGGUAAUACGGAGGGUGCGAGCGUUAAUCGGAAUUACUGGGCGUAAAGCGCGCGUAGGCGGUCUGAUAAGCCGGUUGUGAAAGCCCCGGGCUCAACCUGGGAACGGCAUCCGGAACUGUCAGGCUAGAGUGCAGGAGAGGAAGGUAGAAUUCCCGGUGUAGCGGUGAAAUGCGUAGAGAGCGGGAGGAAUACCAGUGGCGAAGGCGGCCUUCUGGACUGACACUGACGCUGAGGUGCGAAAGCGUGGGUAGCAAACAGGAUUAGAUACCCUAGAGUC
rnacentral:rRNA from 1 species